rnacentral:rRNA from 1 species
AACGAACGCUGGCGGCAGGCCUAACACAUGCAAGUCGAACGCGUGGCUUCGGCCACGAGUGGCGCACGGGUGAGUAGCACGUGGGAACCUACCCUUCGGUGCGGGAUAACGCCGGGAAACUGGCGCUAAUACCGCAUACGCCCUAUGGGGGAAAGAUUUAUCGCCGAGGGAUGGGCCCGCGCCCGAUUAGCUAGUUGGUGAGGUAACGGCUCACCAAGGCUGCGAUCGGUACCUGGUCUGAGAGGAUGAUCAGGCACACUGGGACUGAGACACGGCCCAGACUCCUACGGGAGGCAGCAGUGGGGAAUAUUGGACAAUGGGGGCAACCCUGAUCCAGCCAUGCCGCGUGGGUGAUGAAGGCCUUAGGGUUGUAAAGCCCUUUCACUGGCGAAGAUGAUGACGGUAGCCAGAGAAGAAGCCCCGGCUAACUCCGUG